AAAUAUAUUAUUCCACCAGUAGGAGGAAACAGUGCCCUUAACUAGUCUGCUGGGUUUGAGCAUGUAAUAGCUACUUCAAGUAGUUGGCUACCUUGUCAAGUGUCAUAGCGAAAGACAUGUUGACGGUCAUUGUAGGAUCAUUAGGUCAGAGAGACAGAGUAACUGGAUUCUGAACAUGUGGAGGAGGAACAAUUUAUUUUUUGAGGACCAAUAAGAUGUGACAGCAGUGUGCACCCAUUUACUGCAAGGCCUCCCUGGUGAUGAUCCGUCCUACUAAUGUCUACAACACUGCACUUCAGGAUUUCCAACAGGAGGAGAGACACCAGCACAAAGAGGAGCUGGGAAAGCGCUGAUUCACAGCUGACCUCGUUCAUAGAGAGAAGAGUGAUGUAACCUAUCUCAGUUACUGGACACAGCUUGAUUUAUAACAACUGAAAUGGUUUGUGACAGUGAUGACACCUGGGCACAAGUACUGUUGGAGUGCUGGCUUUCAUCGAUUAAGCUGUUCCUUUCUGUCCCAUCGCCACUUUAAUCCAGUGUCUGCUGACGUUAUUAUCAAGGGAGCCUCUCUCUUUCCCUCUCACGCAGGCUGUCUUGGACUGUUGGCCACACGUUGCUCUGUGUACUGUUGCCUAACUCCAUCAAUCACCGCGAAGGGAGAGGAAGAGAGCGUGUGGAGGGAGGGCGAUAAAAAGAAUAAAAAUAAGAUAUGGCUGGGGAAAAAAAAAUGAGCGAGAUGAAAACAGACAUUGUACAGGAACAGCUUUGGGAAGCUGGAGGGGAAGUGAGUAAACGAGUGGGAAGAACACCUCGAUACAUUUAAUGAUCCACCGAGAGCGCCGACAGUCCAAAUAACUGCUUGAAAACUGCGAGAAUAUAUGGAUGUAAUUGUGUUAUUUCUGGCUCUCGCUAUGAUGAUCCUCUGCUGGGAUCUGAGGCAAUAAA